AUGCACACGCCCAGUGGACUCUGGACUUUGGUGACACAGUAGGCAACUGGGAACACCUGUACCUUCUGAGGAAAAACCAGAGUGGGACCAUCCACAUGGCCUUGCCUGCAUCAGCAACUUAUCCCUAGCAACCACACAUAGCCCC
rnacentral:lncRNA from 1 species